UACGGAGGGUGCAAGCGUUGUCCGGAUUUAUUGGGUUUAAAGGGUGCGUAGGUGGGUUGGUAAGUCAGUGGUGAAAUCCCCGAGCUUAACUUGGGAACUGCCAUUGAUACUAUUAAUCUUGAAUACCGUGGAGGUUAGCGGAAUAUGUCAUGUAGCGGUGAAAUGCUUAGAUAUGACAUAGAACACCAAUUGCGAAGGCAGCGGGCUACACGAAUAUUGACACUGAUGCACGAAAGCGUGGGGAUCAAACAGG
rnacentral:rRNA from 1 species